rnacentral:misc_RNA from 1 species
CAGGCGAGCGCCCAUUCAUAUGUGACCACUGCGGCAAAACCUUCAGUCAGAAGUCCCACGUGGUCGGGCACAUUCGCACCCACACCGGUGAGAGACCUUACCAGUGCCACCUCUGUCCCUGGGAUUCUGCAUGGAAAAGUGAGCUUACACGUCACUUGAAGAACAUUCACAAGUGCAGCCAACACUCACCUCAAAGUGCACACGUGUGAAUCGCAAAGAAAACGACUGAGGAGACGUCUUGUUCUGUGGCUUCAAGUGCGUUGCCAAAAGUGCUAAGGUGAGGACUACAUCGUUCAUGCCUGGAGAAAACCUACAACUGUGCUGCUUGAACGACAUAAAGUACGCGCGUAACUCCAGGACACGUGCCAGCAAUGUGCAAAACUUGUGACUUCCCAACACUCAUGACUUCCCAACAAGUGCACACAUGUACACAUGAAACUCAUGACUUCCCAAGUGCACACAUGUUCCUACUUUCUUCUGGCUUUGCUGCUAUUCAUCAUCACCCUGACCAGCCAGCUCGUCUGAGAUCUUCGACAAAAGAGCGUGUGUUCACAUGUUAUGUG